rnacentral:rRNA from 1 species
UAGGGAAUCUUCGGCAAUGGGGGGAACCCUGACCGAGCAACGCCGCGUGAGUUAAGAAGUUUUUCGGUUCGUACAGCUCUGUUGUUAAGGCAGAAUGUGUGUGAGCAUGGAAAGUUCAUGCUGUUACGGUACUUAACCAGAAUGGGACGGCUAACUACGUGCCAGCAGCCGCGGUAAUACGUAGGUCCCGAGCGUUGUCCGGAUUUAUUGGGCGUAAAGCGAGCGCAGGCGGUUAGAAAAGUCUGAAGUGAAAGGCAGUGGCUCAACCAUUGUAGGCAUUGAAAACUGUUUAACUUGAGUGCAGAAGGGGAGAGUGGAAUUCCAUGUGUAGCGGUGAAAUGCGUAGAUAUAUGGAGGAACACCGGUGGCGAAAGCGGCUCUCUGGUCUGUAACUGACGCUGAGGCUCGAAAGCGUGGGGAGCGAACAGG